GCCAGGCUCGCCCAGAAGCCCCUUGUCUCCUUUCAAGCCUCUCACGUGACUCCCUGGAGGUCCCGGAGGACCAGGGUCACCUGCAUUUACAGAGAGCCGAGAAAGAGAGAGCCUGUGCAAGCAGAGGAGGGGCAGAGAGAGAGGAGGACAGAGGAUCUGAAGCAGGUUCCCAGCUGAUAGCAGAGAGCCUGAUGCGGGGCUCAAACUCAUGAACCGUGAGAUCAUGACCUGAGCCAAAGUCAGGCGCCCCAGCUAACUGGAAUUUAAAUAAAAAGUUCAAAAAAGAACCUGGGUUUCCUCUGAAGCCUGGUGGACCUCGAUCUCCUUUCUGGCCAGGGAUGACUGCGCCAGGAAAACCCGGUGGUCCUGGGAGUCCCGUCAUGCCGGUGGGUCCCCACGGCCCGGCAUCUCCCACUAUCCCUUUCCUGCCGGGGAGGCCGGGUAAGCCUGGGGCUCCCCUGUCUCCUUUGGCUCCUGCAAAGGAAAAGGUUUGAAAUAGUGAACGGCACACAAGUAGGGGACAGGAAGAAGAAGGAUGAGGCUGCUGGCACAGGGAAGGGCUUGGGACGUUAUCGUGCAGGAAGGCAGAGUGAUGAUGAAAAUAAAAUGGAUGAAUAUUAAAAUACUGAAU